UGAGAAAGAGAGAGGCGAUGAAAUAGAGAGAGGAUGAGGCCCGGGACACGGAGAAAGAAACAGAGAAAGAGGCAGAACGUUUGGCGUGGACUACAAAAAAGCAUAGGCGUAGGGGAGAUGGAGAGACAUCUCAGGCCAACACCACUGUCGGACUCUAACCACCAAAAAAUUUGCAUCCCUCAACUGGCGGUACACUGUUACAGGUGGGUAUUAUUUGCUUAGGGAUCCGUAGUACAACAAAGGACUUACCAAUGCUUUGGUCAUUCAGUUGACUCAUUGCUGCCAGUCUGUACUUGCUGUCAUGCUAGCAAAAACAGGGUUUCAGCCGGUUUUACAUAUUAUUGAAUUUGAACCAAUGACUCGCCGUAUGAAAGCGAACCGCUGAGUCAAGUAAGUCAAGUUGAGUCAAAUCAGAGAAAAUAGACUCCUAUAAGAGAGCCGUUUGGGAAGAUGCUAUAUGAGAUGGAUGUCGUCUACAAGAGUGACGUAGAAGGAUAUAUUUAGCUAUUGUUUUGGGAUGUUAUUCUAUUUGG